rnacentral:rRNA from 1 species
CUACGGGGUGCAGCAGUGAGGAAUAUUGCACAAUGGGGGGAACCCUGAUGCAGCAACGCCGCGUGGAGGAUGACGCAUUUCGGUGUGUAAACUCCUUUUAUAUGUCAAGAAAAUGACGGUAGCAUAUGAAUAAGCACCGGCUAACUCCGUGCCAGCAGCCGCGGUAAUACGGAGGGUGAAAGCGUUACUCGGAAUCACUGGGCGUAAAGGACGCGUAGGCGGGCUUGUAAGUCAGGUGUGAAAUCCUACAGCUUAACUGUAGAACUGCACUUGAAACUACGAGCCUAGAGUAUGGGAGGGGGAGAUGGAAUUAGUGGUGUAGGGGUAAAAUCCGUAGAUAUCACUAGGAAUACCUAAAGCGAAGGCGAUCUCCUGGAACAUAACUGACGCUAAGGCGUGAAAGCGUGGGGAGCAAACAGGAUUAGAUACCCCCGUAGUC